rnacentral:tRNA from 1 species
GCGGGAAUAGCUCAGUUGGUAGAGCCCAACCUUGCCAAGGUUGAGGUCGCGAGUUCGAGUCUCGUUUCCCGCUCCA